AGGGUGAGAGCCCCGUCGUGCC
rnacentral:siRNA from 1 species